rnacentral:pre_miRNA from 1 species
GUAGUAUUCCCUCCGUCCCAAAAUUCGUGUCUUACAUUUGUUUAGAUACGGAUGUAUCUAACACUAAAAUGUAACUAGAUACAUCCGUAUUUAGACAAAUUUAAGACACGAAUUUUGGGACGGAGGGACUACAAA